CUUCCCGUAGGUGAACCUGCGGAAGGAUCAUUACCGAGUGCGGGCCCGCUCUGGGCCCAACCUCCCCACCCGUGUCUCUUGCGUACUUUGUUGCUUUGGCGGGCCCACUGGGUCACUCCGGUCGCCGGGGAGCGCUAUGCUCCCGGGCCCGUGCCCGCCAGAGCACCCCUGUGAACCCUGAUGAAGAGAGGCUGUCUGAGUCCCACGAUAAUCGUUAAAACUUUCAACAAUGGAUCUCUUGGUUCCGGCAUCGAUGAAGAACGCAGCGAAAUGCGAUAAGUAAUGUGAAUUGCAGAAUUCCGUGAAUCAUCGAAUCUUUGAACGCACAUUGCGCCCCCUGGCAUUCCGGGGGGCAUGCCUGUCCGAGCGUCAUUUCUGCCCUCAAGCGCGGCUUGUGUGUUGGGCGUGGUCCCCCUGGCUUUGGCGGGGACCUGCCCGAAAGGCAGCGGCGACGUCCCGCCUAGUCCUCGAGCGUAUGGGGCUCUGUCACGCGCUCGGGAGGGACUGGUGGGCGUUGGUCACCCCUUAUUCUUUCUACGGUUGACCUCGGAUCAGGUAGAGUUAGAAGU
rnacentral:rRNA from 1 species